CAUAUCAAUAAGCGGAGGAAAAGAAACCAACAGGGAUUGCCCCAGUAGCGGCGAGUGAAGCGGCAAGAGCUCAGAUUUGAAAUCGUGUUUCGGCACGAGUUGUAGAGUGUAGGCGGGAGUCUCUGUGGAGCGCGGUGUCCAAGUCCCUUGGAACAGGGUGCCUGAGAGGGUGAGAGCCCCGUAGGGUGCUGCGCGAAGCUUUUGAGGCCCUGCUGACGAGUCGAGUUGUUUGGGAAUGCAGCUCCAAGCGGGUGGUAAAUUCCAUCUAAGGCUAAAUAUUGGCGAGAGACCGAUAGCGAACAAGUACUGUGAAGGAAAGAUGAAAAGCACUUUGAAAAGAGAGUGAAACAGCACGUGAAAUUGUUGAAAGGGAAGGGUAUUGGGCUCGACAUGGGGGGUGCGCACCGCUGUCUCUUGUAGGCGGCGCUCUGGGCGCCCUCUGGGCCAGCAUCGGUUCCUGCUGCGGGAGAAGGGGCUCCGGAAAGUGGCUCUUCGGAGUGUUAUAGCCGGGGCCAGAUGCCGCGUGUGGGGACCGAGGACUGCGGCUUCUGUCUCGGAUGCUGGCAUAACGGCGCAAUACCGC
rnacentral:rRNA from 1 species